rnacentral:rRNA from 1 species
UACGUAGGGUGCGAGCGUUGUCCGGAAUUAUUGGGCGUAAAGAGCUCGUAGGCGGUCUGUCGCGUCGAUCGUGAAAACUUGGGGCUUAACCCUGAGCUUGCGGUCGAUACGGGCAGACUAGAGUUCGGCAGGGGAGACUGGAAUUCCUGGUGUAGCGGUGAAAUGCGCAGAUAUCAGGAGGAACACCGGUGGCGAAGGCGGGUCUCUGGGCCGAUACUGACGCUGAGGAGCGAAAGCGUGGGGAGCGAACAGG